rnacentral:tRNA from 3 species
GCCGACGUAGCUCAGCUGGUAGAGCAGCUCAUUCGUAAUGAGCAGGUCAGCGGUUCGAAUCCGCUCGUCGGCU